rnacentral:tRNA from 1 species
GGAGAGGUGGCUCAGUGGUUAAGAGCACUGACUAUUCUUCCAGAGGUCCUGUGUUCAAUUCCCAGCAACCACA